rnacentral:rRNA from 1 species
AUUGAACGCUGGCGGCAGGCCUAACACAUGCAAGUCGAGCGGAUGAAGGGAGCUUGCUCCUGGAUUCAGCGGCGGACGGGUGAGUAAUGCCUAGGAAUCUGCCUGGUAGUGGGGGAUAACGUCCGGAAACGGGCGCUAAUACCGCAUACGUCCUGAGGGAGAAAGUGGGGGAUCUUCGGACCUCACGCUAUCAGAUGAGCCUAGGUCGGAUUAGCUAGUUGGUGGGGUAAAGGCCUACCAAGGCGACGAUCCGUAACUGGUCUGAGAGGAUGAUCAGUCACACUGGAACUGAGACACGGUCCAGACUCCUACGGGAGGCAGCAGUGGGGAAUAUUGGACAAUGGGCGAAAGCCUGAUCCAGCCAUGCCGCGUGUGUGAAGAAGGUCUUCGGAUUGUAAAGCACUUUAAGUUGGGAGGAAGGGCAGUAAGUUAAUACAUUGAUGUUUUGACGUUACCAAAAGAAUAAGCAACGGCUAACUUCGUG